rnacentral:lncRNA from 1 species
UUUUAUAUAGAAAUAACGUUGUGUCCACUUGUGUCCGCCUGUGUCCCCUCAUUUCUAGAAGUUUUAUAUUGAAAUAGCACUGUGUCCAGUUGUGUCCACCUGUAGCCAGCAGAUUUUAUAAGUUUUAUAUAGAAAUAACGUUGUGUCCACUUGUGUCCGCCUGUAACCCCCCAUAUCAAGAAGUUUUAUAUAGGAAUAGUACUGUGUCCAGCUGUGUCCACCUGUAGCCAGCAUAUUUUAUAAGUUUUAUAUAGAAAUUGCGUUGUGUCCACUUGUGUCCGCCUGUAUCCCCUCAUUUCUAGAAGUUUUAUAUUGAAAAAGUACUGUGUCCAGCUGUGUCCACCUGUAGCCAGCAAAUUUUAUAAGUUUUAUAUAGAAAUUGCGUUGUGUCCACUUGUGUCCGCCUGUGUCCCCUCAUUUCUAGAAGUUUUAUAUUGAAAUAUCACUGUGUCCAGUUGUG